ACACUUAGCCUGUUGAUCAAUGAUCUAGAUCAAUCUAGUAUCCUGGUAGAAUCUUUUUCUCACUUCUUAUCUUAAAUUAUGAAGGUGACAUUCCUGAACUAGAGCUAUAUUUUGUUAUUAUAAACAAUGAAUAUGGAAAGCAAAUUGAAGAAGAGCUACUUCCUGGAGGAAAAAACCGUCGUGUCACCUGUGAAAAUGUCAUCACAUUCAUUCAUCUUGUUGCCAAUCAUCGUUUGAACUUUCAGCAUAGUUUGUCCCUUGUUUAUCCAAUGUGUCUCCCUACUCCAAUGUUGAUUGAAAACAUGUCCUCCUCAGAUACGACAGCAAAGUUCUCAUUUUUUGAGAGGGAUUCAGCAGCUUAUACAGAAAGAAUGGAUCAACAUGUUCAAUGAGCAUGAAUUCCAGCUUUCAAUAUCAGGUUCACUGGACAGCUUGGAUGUUGAUGACCUACGGACACAUACUACUUAUUCAAGUGGUUAUCAUAGGAGACUGGCAGAUGGUUUAAGUAGCUUUAAAACAAGUAGAAUAAAUCUUAUUGAUUUACCUGGUUCCGGAGGCAGAAGCUAACAGGUGCAGCUGGGGAGCGCUUGAAGGAAGCACGCAAUAUCAACCGAUCACUCUCACAACUCGGAUCGGAAUGAUGUUGCUCAUCUGAAAGAAGGCAGCAUCAUGUGCUUGAAGACUUGUA